GCCCUCUCGGGAUUGCACCUGGAGAGUUUCCAAUACUCGACCAGUCUCGGCUAUGGGAGGGAGAGUCAAGCAGAGGGGUGCCCAUUCCAUUCCUAACUUGGGCAGAGGAUAGCGAGUGGAAGGCAAUCUGCCACAAGU